rnacentral:rRNA from 1 species
AUCGAACGCUGGCGGCAGGCCUAACACAUGCAAGUCGAACGGGUGGAGGACGGGUGAGUAAUGUAUGGGAAACUGCCUGAUCGACGGGGCUAACUGCUGGAAAAGGUAGAUAAUACUGCUUAACGUCGGAUCUGCUCAGACGGGAUUAGCUAGUCGGUGGGGUAAUGGCUCACCUAGGCGACGAUCCCUAGCUGGUCGGAGAGGAUGACCAGCCACACUGGAACUGAGACACGGUCCAGACUCCUACGGGAGGCAGCAGUGGGGAAUAUUGCACAAUGGGCGUAAGCCUGAUGCAGCCAGGCCGCGUGUAUGAAGAAGGCCUUCGGGUUGUAAAGUACUUUCAGCGAGGAGGCGUUACUCGCAGAAGAAGCACCGGCUAACUCCGUGCCAGCAGCCGCGGUAAUAC